UCUGAUUUAUUGUGUUGCACUGUUGGAGGAGCCUGUGACCUAAGACCUUUCGUUGUCAUAACUACACAGUAGCUAUGCAUACAUGACAACAACAGCCUUGAACCUUGAAUGCUUGAAUGUUCCCGUGUGAUCAGAUGAUGAGCCGUGAUGUGUUUUCUGUCCUCAGCUGCUGCAGUGGUUCAAGCCUCGCCUCAUCCUCAGUGGACACACACACAGCGGAUGUGAAGUUCUCCAUGACAACAAGUACCCCGAAAUCAGCGUGCCGUCCUUCAGCUGGAGGAACAGGAACAACCCCAGCUUCAUCCUGGCCUCGGUGUCCCCCGGCAGCUUCGCCAUGUCCAAGUGUUUCCUCCCGGAGGAGAGCACGGUGAUCGGGGUGUACUGCUCGGCCGGCGGCUGCCUGCUGCUGCUGCUCCUCGCCCAGUGUGUGUGGAUGAAGGGCCUGCUGCAGUGCCUCAGCCUGCUGGGGAAGCACAAGUCUCUGUGAACUACGUUUCCCAGAGUGCACCAGGAGAGCUCAAUGGACUUAAAUGUGAAUUUCCUCUACAAAACUCUGUUUGUCCAAAUGUUUUACGGCACUGUGAAGGACACUUAUAUAUGUUUUAAAUGUCUUAAAAAGACUUAAAGUUUAUCACGUGUGAUAUUUAUGAGAAAGCAGAGGAUUUUUGUGCCAAAUUGUUGUUAACAAUCAUAUAGUGUUAGUUUUAUAUUCCUUGGGAGUGCCAAACAGGUAGAGAUUAUUGUAGCACAAGAAGCACAGAAAAGUAAAAUAUUGACUUUACAGUUAAACUGUGAGUAUAAGGAAGCACAAAUGUGCC